rnacentral:rRNA from 1 species
UACGUAGGGACCGAGCGUUGUCCGGAAUCAUUGGGCGUAAAGAGCGUGUAGGCGGCCAACUAAGUCCUGCGUGAAAUCUCGGGGCUCAACCCCGAGCGGUCGUGGGAAACUGGUUGGCUAGAGUGCGGGAGAGGAGAGUGGAAUUCCUGGUGUAGCGGUGAAAUGCGCAGAUAUCGGGAGGAACACCAAUGGCGAAGGCAGCUCGCUGGGACGGUACUGACGCUGAGACGCGAAAGCGUGGGGAGCAAACAGG